rnacentral:tRNA from 1 species
GGAAGGGUGGCUGAGCGGUUGAAAGCGCCGGUCUUGAAAACCGGUAGGCGGCUUAUCCGUCUCGUGGGUUCGAAUCCCACCCCUUCCG